CGGCAACAGCUCAAAUUUGAAAUCUGGCUCCCAGAGCCCGAGUUGUAAUUUGUAGAGGAUGCUUUUGAUGCGGUGCCUUCCGAGUUCCCUGGAACGGGACGCCAUAGAGGGUGAGAGCCCCGUCU
rnacentral:rRNA from 1 species